CUGCUACUCUGCUAUCCUUUCUCUUUGUAGGAGGAGAUGGUAUAGUAAACUGACAUUGUGCUGAAACUGGAGGCAGUCUUGUUUAUCAAGAGCUUUUCUGAGAACUGUCUACUCUGUACGCAAAAAGUUGCAGCACAUUAAUUUCAGCUUCUGACUUUUGCCUUGAGAUAUAUUUAUUUUGGCUUUAGAGAAUUGUGCAAUCUCUAUUUGUAUUGAGUUUUUACCACAGCAUACAUUUCUGGGGCUGAGGGAAUUUUCUGAUAAAUCAUUUGAAUACCCAUCUUUAGACGUGGAAAACAUUUCUCCUUUUUUUGUUGUUGUUGUUUGUUGUUGUUGUUGUUUGUUGGUUGGUUUGGGAUUUUUUGGUUGGUUGUUGCUUUAAAAAAAAAACAGAACCAUUUUACAGGAAAUAUAAAUCAUUCAUAUUUAUAAUUUUCAGAGUUGUAGCUGUGUGCCCAGAGAUCCUGAAAACUGGGAUGGGAAGGCCGUCACACCCCAGUUUCCUUUGAACACCAGCCACCUGUGAGACUGCUUAAUUCUCAGCACUCUCAGGCUGGCAUAUCAGGGCAUGCAUCCCCAGUGCACGCCCUGGGUGCAGGGCUGAAGAGGGAUGGAAGGAAUCCCUGAUUAACUAAUGAGUUUGUUUUCCAGUUGCUCCGGCCCUCUCCUGUCUUUGCAUAUUCCAUGUUUUUUUCUAAGGCAUUAAUCCAAGCUUUGCUCUAGCAACUCCAGCCUUGAAAGCUUGAAACUUUUUGAAGUGGCUCUAGAAAAGGCAGAACAGAUUUCAUCAGUGCCAGGAUAAUCUGGGAGAUAGGUAUCCCACUGAAGCCAUCUCAUUUGCUUCUUUAUUUGAUGUCUCAAGGAAAAUGCUUUGAUCACUUUCUGAAGCUCAUGUUGGAAACAUCUCCUGGGCAGGGAUCAGAAGGAUGUUGUUUCCCCUCAAUUUCCAGACUGCCUGAGUAUUACACCUCCAUCUUGGAUUUAGGUAAGCUUGAAAGUUCACUGGAGGAUGUAGAGUUUGUUGACAAUGGAAGGAUUCUUUGCAGAUCAAUGGCUAGUAAAACAACUUAUGACAGAGUUAGAGAGGCAGGUUAUCAGCAAUGUAAGCUUGAUUCCAGCACCUGCUUCCAGAUCAUUCCAGGACCUUUCUCAGGUGGCUUUUAGAUGAUUAUAGGAAGUUUGUUACAUGAGGAAUGUGCACUCCAACGAGUGUGAAUACAGAGGACAGAACAGGAAGAGGCUAAUAAUCUUUUAACAAGCAAAGUGGAAAAGCCAACAGCUGCUAGAACUUUACACAUAGUAGACAACUCCUAGUACACUCACAUGCCAAAGUCCACGGAGAACCUAACCCAAGAGAGAUUAGUCCUUGAGAGACAGAGUCCAGCUGGUCAUGACGACAGCAGCGCCCAUACACCAUUAUACCUUCAUGUUGUUCUUUUAUGUAGUCCACUUUCAAGAGAAAAAACACUCCUGAUAUUUCAGUUCAAACUUCAUACAUAGUGUUAACUUUGCAGUCGUUUAGGUACUGUUCUAUCAACUAAAAUGCUCUGUGUAACACACGUGGCUUUUUAACAAUUUUGUAACUUGGUCAGGCAGCACCGGGCUUGUUUCUGCUGUUUUACUCAGCUGUGAUGAGGCAGUGGGAGAGGCAUGCUGCAUACAAGGUGUUCCAAGUCACAGACAGCUGUGGAUCAGUGGAGUUCUCCAUACCACAGUGAGAUGUUGAGUGCUACUUUUUAUGGGUACAUUCUCCGUUUACCAUUUCCAAGUGCCAAGAGGCAAGGUAGCUUAGUUUAUUCAGCUUGUGUCAGUAAAAAGUUCUCCUUCCUUUUGCCAGAGGUAGAACACGUGGUACUUUCUCUGUAUCUUGCCUUCUGACUCACUUCCCUAGAACCUCUUUUCUUGAAAACACAAACCCAGGAAGGUCCCAUAUCUUCUGACUGCCAAACUAAUAAUAAUGGUGAGCUCUGAUUAUAGCCUACAGGCUCUUCCUGGAGAGGAGGAGAGGUUUACAUGCCAGGGAAAUGGAGGAGACCAAAGUUUGAGCUUCUGCCCCACUGAAUGCUCCACUCCAAAUCCAUGAAAGCAGAUGCUUGAGGUUUUGAACUGACAAUGUAUAUCCAUAAAGAGCGGGGAAGAGUUUUUGCCCAGGUUCACAUGCUGUGUUAUGAGCAACGCUGGGUGAUGUUUACAUUCAGACGAGACCCUUUUAAGUAGACCAGGGGACAAGGAAUCCUGAGUUGCAGCAGAAUAAUUACAAGAAGGCUGCAAUAUAGAUUUGAGACUGAUGUUUUGCCCAGGAGUACCCCAAGUAUGGGUGCUCUAGAAGUAAAAGCAAUGCCUUAAUGGCUCUUAAAAGAAAUAUGAAAACAGUGGGGCACUGGGAUCACUUUCUAGGGUGCUCCUUGGAAACAACUGAAGAUGUUGCAUAUGAUGCCAUGAUAUCUACAGGACUCUGCCUCCAUGGAAUAAGAUGCAUCAGCUCCACAGCUUUCUAAAGCCACUCCUGAUUUAGGAGCACAGGUUGCCAGUAGGGGAAAAAAACUCCCAGAGGCCCACAUUCACCCCACUGCAACACUCAUCCCUUUUAAGUGUCACAAUCAUGUGGUCUUACCUAGACACAUUUCUGCUGCCUUGCUCACAGUCAUGCCCUAAUCUUAGCCAUACACAGGAAAAGGCACCAAAAAAAGGCAUCAUCUGCUUCAGACAAGAUAACAAACACUGGGUGUGACACACACUGAAAAUGGCACAACUUCUCAUGACAUAUAAAAAUACAUCAAAUAAAACCAGCAGCAAUAUGGAUUUUUUUUCUGAGAAAUGGCCUGUGAAUUAAUAGCAAGGUUUUUUUUCCUCCCAAAACUGUAUGGCCCAGAAAUCAAACAAAUAAACCGAGGACGAGAGAUAAGCGGUGCAGAGUGUAUUUCUUCAAUACUUCUAGAAAAGAUGAGUCUAAAAACUGCUGAUUCAGAGAACCUGUUUUAUAGGACUUUACCUUCAAAGUGACUCAAAUCUUCGAAGAAAAGUGGUGCAUUCUAGAAUGUUUCCAAAGAGUUUGGGAGAUCACAUUUAGCUUUGGUCAUUCACCAUCAUUUCAAAAAAUUUAACUGUUGAAUAUUUCGAGGAAAAUUUCUGAAUGUCAUGUAAAAGAAUUAAAAAGCUGCUACUGAUCAAUCAUUUCUUCCUCUUAGAUUUUACAUCAGAAUUCGGUCCAUUUUUGCAGGUUAGAACAAUGUAAAGCUCUUUACAUAUUUUCAUUUCAGGCCAGCUGAUAUCUCUGAGAACCCGUGGUGUUGUCACCUUUGCUGAAGGUCUCAAGCACCACUGAAUAAGCACCCACAUGCUCACUCACUGUUUCAAAGUGAGCCCUUUCAAAUGCUUCCAAUGAAGCAAAAACUGCAGUAUCUGUAUACUGCUCUUAAUUACGAAAUACAUUUGCUACAUCUUCAGGUGAUAUUUAAAUAUACUCACAAAAAAGAUAUUCAAGUCUCAGCAUGCACCGCUGGCUUUGACUUUCUGAGUGGUGUUUAUUGGAUAUAUUCCAUUAGCACACCAUAUUUUGACUGUAAUUUUGUGUCCUCCUUUACAUUCCUCUCUCAUUCUAUGCACAUAUCUACCUACCGUUCACUUCAAAUGAUGAAGAAAGGCACAUUCGUAAACGGGAUCUUGAAAAGAGAUACAUGUUUGCAAGUAUUUUAGGGUAAUUGCAAACAGACACAAAAAAGUCAGAAAUAUUCUAAGCUUCAAAAUGCAGAUGCUCCAUUUUCAGCUAAGUUCCAAACCUGCAAACAAAACUUUUGCUUAGGAGUAAGCACGUAAGUUAGGCAUGCUGAAAUAGGGGCUAAACAGGCACGUGUCUGUAGGGUUAGGCCCACAAAGUCCACAUUUACAAUAAGUAAUCUCUCUUUUUAAAACUGUAUUUUUAUCAAUUGAUUUUUUAUAUCAAUGUGAGCAAUAGAUGUCCUCUUCAAGAUCAUUUUCUAUUGUGCAAUAAAUGAAGCUGCUUGGUAGAAAAGAGAGCAUUUUGUAAGAAUAUUUUAAAGUGCAUGGAUUUAAGCACGUUUAAGUAAUGAUGUUUAAAUUUAUUUUCACCCUUGGAGAAGUUGGUUGGAAGUUAGAAGUUAUCUUUUUGUUAUAUGUUACAGACACAGAAUAUUCUUUCCUAAAAUUAGCAUUAUUCAGAUAAAGGAUUGUACAUAAUAAGGAUAAUAAUAAUAGUAGUAGUAGUAAUAGUAGUAGUAGUAGUAGUAGUAGUAAACAUUUCUACUGGAAAAAGGAUUUCCCAGAAUGCUUGUAAUGGGACACAUAUAUGCAUUUAUUAAUUUACAUCAGAAGCAAGAAAAUAAUCAUGAGUGUCUUGCAAUAUACUCCCAAGAUUUCAUUUCUGAAACUAUUUCCUAGGGAAGGGACUUGCUCUAGAAAAUUGAAGAUAUAUAAUUUUAUUUUGCUCUGGCUCCACUAAAGUUGCUGUCCUGUCCCAAAGUGAAGCUUUGAACUACAGAAGGUAGAAAGAAUAAAAAAUGAUUUGAGGAGAAAAAAAAAAAAAGCAGAAGAAAAAGAAAAAAAACAAAUGAUGGGACAAAUUAUCGUGGCUAUUACUCACUGAAACACAUUUUCUAAAAGGGAAGGGAAGGGAAGGGAAGG
rnacentral:lncRNA from 1 species